AUUGCAUUCGAUACUGCCAUGCUAGAGGACUGGAGAGGAGACUGGAAUUCACGGUGUAGCAGUGAAAUGCGUAGAUAUCGUGAGGAAGACCAGUGGCGAAGGCGAGUCUCUGGACAGCUCCUGACGCUGAGGCACGAAGGCCAGGGUAGCGAACGGGAUUAGAUACCCCGGUAGUCCUGGCAGUAAACGUUGCACGUUUGGUGUGGGAGGAUUCGACCCCUUCCGUGCCGGAGCUAACGCGUUAAACGUCCCGCCUGGGGAGUACGGUCGCAAGAUUAAAACUCAAAGAAAUUGACGGGGGCCCGCACAAGCGGUGGAGUAUGUGGCUUAAUUCGAUGCAACGAGAAGAACCUUACCCAGCCUUGACAUGCAUUUCUAAACCGAUGAAAGCCGGCGAGUCUUCGGACAACUUGCACAGGUGCUGCAUGGCUGUCGUCAGCUCGUGUCGUGAGAUGUUGGGUUAAGUCCCGCAAGGAGCGCAACCCCUGUGAACUGUUGCUAUCCUUUUGGAGCACUCUGUUCAGACUGCCCUGUCAAACCGGGAGGAAGGUGGGGGGGACGUCAAGUCUGUAUGGCCCUUAUGGCUGGGGCUGCACACGUACUACAAUGCUCAGUACAAUGUGAACCGAACCCGCGAGGUGGAGGAAAUCGAUAAAACUGGGCCCAUUUCGGAUUGGAGGCUGCAAC
rnacentral:rRNA from 1 species